CGUCCCGCACAGGUGCUGCAUGGCUGUCGUCAGCUCGUGUCGUGAGAUGUUGGGUUAAGUCCCGCAACGAGCGCAACCCUUGUCAUUAGUUGCCAUCAUUUGGUUGGGCACUCUAAUGAGACUGCCGGUGACAAACCGGAGGAAGGUGGGGAUGACGUCAAGUCCUCAUGGCCCUUAUGGGUAGGGCUUCACACGUCAUACAAUGGUCGGUACAGAGGGUUGCCAACCCGCGAGGGGGAGCUAAUCCCACAAAGCCGAUCGUAGUCCGGAUCGCAGUCUGCAACUCGACUGCGUGAAGUCGGAAUCGCUAGUAAUCGUGGAUCAGCAUGUCACGGUGAAUACGUUCCCGGGUCUU
rnacentral:rRNA from 1 species